rnacentral:rRNA from 1 species
UACGGGGGGGCAAGCGGUUGUUCGGAAUUACUGGGCGUAAAGGGCUCGUAGGCGGCCAACUAAGUCGGACGUGAAAUCCCUCGGCUUAACCGGGGAACUGCGUCCGAUACUGGAUGGCUUGAGUUUGGGAGAGGGAUGCGGAAUUCCAGGUGUAGCGGUGAAAUGCGUAGAUAUCUGGAGGAACACCGGUGGCGAAGGCGGCAUCCUGGACCAACACUGACGCUGAUGAGCGAAAGCUAGGGGAGCGAACGGG